rnacentral:rRNA from 1 species
UACGUAGGGUGCAAGCGUUGUCCGGAAUUAUUGGGCGUAAAGCGUGCGCAGGCGGCUAUGCAAGACAGAUGUGAAAUCCCCGGGCUCAACCUGGGAACUGCAUUUGUGACUGCAUAGCUAGAGUACGGUAGAGGGGGAUGGAAUUCCGCGUGUAGCAGUGAAAUGCGUAGAUAUGCGGAGGAACACCGAUGGCGAAGGCAAUCCCCUGGACCUGUACUGGCGCUCAUGCACGAAAGCGUGGGGGAGCAAACGAGG